UUCCAGACUCCUACGGGAGGCAGCAGUGGGGAAUAUUGCACAAUGGGGGGAACCCUGAUGCAGCGACGCCGCGUGGGUGAAGGAGUACUUCGGUACGUAAAGCCCUAUCAGCAGGAAAGAAAAUGACGGUACCUGACUAAGAAGCCCCGGCUAACUACGUGCCAGCAGCCGCGGUAAUACGUAGGGAGCGAGCGUUGUCCGGAAUUACUGGGUGUAAAGGGAGCGUAGGCGGGCGAGAAAGUUGAAUGUUAAAUCUACCGGCUUAACUGGUAGCUGCGUUCAAAACUUCUUGUCUUGAGUGAAGUAGAGGCAGGCGGAAUUCCUAGUGUAGCGGUGAAAUGCGUAGAUAUCAGGAGGAACACCGGCGGCGAAGGCGGCCUGCUGGACCGUAACUGACGUUGAGGCUCAAAAGCGUGGGGAGCAAACAGGAUUAGAUACCCUGGUA
rnacentral:rRNA from 1 species